rnacentral:rRNA from 1 species
UACGUAGGGGGCGAGCGUUGUCCGGAAUUAUUGGGCGUAAAGGGUUCGUAGGCGGUAAUACAUGUCAGAUGUGAAAUCUUGUGGCUUAACCACAUCAAGCAUCUGAAACUGUAUAACUUGAGUGGAGGAGAGGUAAGUGGAAUUCCUAGUGUAGCGGUGAAAUGCGUAGAUAUUAGGAAGAAUACCAGUAGCGAAGGCGACUUACUGGCCUCUAACUGACGCUGAUGAACGAAAGCGUGGGUAGCAAACAGG